rnacentral:ncRNA from 1 species
UAGUUAUAGGCCAUUUUGAGGGAUUUAAACAAUAACAAUGGUCCUAACCUCUUUUGUGUAUUACAUUUCUAAUUUCCAUAGCUUCCAAGAAUCCAAAAAUGUCCACAUAUUCAUAAAUAAUAUUGUCACAGCUGUUUUAACAAUAAGACAUGAUUUAAUUGCCUCUUGCAUUUAUCAGAUCCAAAGCACAUUAGAGUCUGUGGGCAUCUUCCUGCUGCCGUCCGCCCCCGGCCUCACUUUGGUGACUCUAGAUAACCUCGGGCCAAUCACGUGCCCCUGUGAUGGUUCAUUCAAAUGUCUGCCCUAUCAACUUUCGAUGGUAGGCUCUUUACCUACCAUGGUGACCACGGGUGACGAAGAAUCAGGGUUCGAUUCCAGAGCAAAUUACUUAUUUCCGACAUGGCGUGGAAUGACGAAAAAUAACAAUGCAGGUCAAUUUGGAGGCCCUGCGAUUGGAAUGAACGCAUCCCAAACCCAUGGGCCAGGACCCAUUGGAGGGCAAGUCUGGUGCCAGCAACAUUAAUUCCAGCUCCAAUAGCGUAUGCU